rnacentral:piRNA from 1 species
UGGGACAGUGAAUUAGAAAAGCAGUUCAA